rnacentral:rRNA from 1 species
UGGCGGCGUGCUAAUACAUGCAGUCGAGCGGAUUGAUGGGAGCUUGCUCCCUGAUAUUAGCGGCGGACGGGUGAGUAACACGUGGGUAACCUGCCUGUAAGAUUGGGAUAACUCCGGGAAACCGGAGCUAAUACCGGAUAAUAUGUUGAACCGCAUGGUUCAACAUUGAAAGAUGGCUUUUGCUAUCACUUACAGAUGGACCCGCGGCGCAUUAGCUAGUUGGUGAGGUAACGGCUCACCAAGGCAACGAUGCGUAGCCGACCUGAGAGGGUGAUCGGCCACACUGGGACUGAGACACGGCCCAGACUCCUACGGGAGGCAGCAGUAGGGAAUCUUCCGCAAUGGACGAAAGUCUGACGGAGCAACGCCGCGUGAACGAUGAAGGCCUUCGGGUCGUAAAGUUCUGUUGUUAGGGAAGAACAAGUACCAGAGUAACUGCUGGUACCUUGACGGUACCUAACCAGAAAGCCACGGCUAACUACGUGCCAGCAGCCGCGGUAAUACGUAGGUGGCAAGCGUUGUCCGGAAUUAUUGGGCGUAAAGCGCGCGCAGGUGGUUUCUUAAGUCUGAUGUGAAAGCCCACGGCUCAACCGUGGAGGGUCAUUGGAAAACUGGGGAACUUGAGUGCAGAAGAGGAAAGU